rnacentral:misc_RNA from 1 species
GAUGAAGAACGUAGCAAAAUGCGAUACUUGGUGUGAAUUGCAGAAUCCCGUGAACCAUCGAGUUUUUGAACGCAAGUUGCGCCCGAAGCCUUUUGGCCGAGGGCACGUCUGCCUGGGCGUCACGCAUCGCGUCGCCCCCCCAAAUUCUCCGUCAGGGGAGCUUGUGUUUCGGGGGCGGAUACUGGUCUCCCGUGCUCAUGGCGCGGUUGGCCGAAAUAGGAGUCCCUUCGAUGGACGCACGAACUAGUGGUGGUCGUAAAAACCCUCGUCUUUUGUUUCGUGCCGUUAGUCGCGAGGGAAGCUCUUCAAAAACCCCAACGCGUCGUCUCUUGACGGCGCUUCGACCGCGACCCCAGGUCAGGCGGGACUACCCGCUGAGUUUAAGCAUAUCAAUAAGCGGAGGA